CUAAAGAUAAGCGUCAAGACAAAGCUUUUGAUAAAAUUGAUAAAAUUCAAAAUGGACGGAUUACGACGUUAUAUACACAUACUAAUAUGCCUAGGAUAUUUGACGUUUUGUUUUGCGGCUCCAGAAUUUUCAUCUAAGAAAGUCGGCAGUGUACCAGCACUGAAUAUAAAUACAGACGAACCGCUGUUACUUUUAAAUUUAGAAGACAUUGAAAAUGAUACAUCUCUGAAAAAUGACACUGAGAACUUUACAACGGAAAACUAUGAAAAUACUGAUAUUACCACAAGCGAAACUGAGAUGUACGAAGAUACUACCCCUAGUUUCGAAAACGAGUCCACUGAAUCGACGACAGAAUCACAUUUGUUAUUUCAACCGUUAAAUGAGUAUGUACAAGAGUCCAUCAAUAGCCCAGACCUUUUAGCAUCACUUAUUGGCUGAUGCGCCGUCCUUCACCGCCUCUACAUACAACAUUACAUAUUUCUGUAUCAAGAAAAACUCGGAAAAACUCAGAGACAUCAUCAAGAUUGUACAUAUAAAAUGAGUUAAGCAUUUUUCCAUCGUCAUCAAAGUCCUGGUAUAAUAAACUGGUAGUUUUCUUUGGAUAUUUACUUCGCAGUGUUCCAUCGCUAUUUAUAACCAAAACCGUUUUACGUUUCGUUAUUAGUAAGGGCUCAGUUUUAUUAUGUGCUGAAACGCUGAAAAAAUAUUUAUUUACAGAAAUACAUACAUUAUAUACCAUUACUGAC